GCCUUCUUAGCUCAGUGGUAGAGCGUUCCACUCGUAGGCAGGAGCUCUUGAUGGAAAGGUCAGUCGUUCAAUCCGGCUAGGAGGCA
rfam:Gymnopus luxurians FD-317 M1 unplaced genomic scaffold GYMLTscaffold_5, whole genome shotgun sequence.